AUGGGCGCAAGCCUGAUGGAGCACACCGCGUGAGUGAAGAAGGGUUUCGGCUCGUAAAGCUCUGUUGUUGGAGAAAACGUGCGUGAGAGUAACUGUUCACGCAGUGACGGUAUCCAACCAGAAAGUCACGGCUAACUACGUGCCAGCAGCCGCGGUAAUACGUAGGUGGCAAGCGUUAUUCGGAUUUAUUGGGCGUAAAGCGAGCGCAGGCGGUUGCUUAGGUCUGAUGUGAAAGCCUUCGGCUUAACCGAAGAAGGGCAUCGGAAACCGUGCGACUUGAGUGCAGAAGAGGACAGUGGAACUCCAUGUGUAGCGGUGGAAUGCGUAGAUAUAUGGAAGAACACCGGUGGCGAAGGCGGCUGUCUGGUCUGCAACUGACGCUGAGGCUCGAAAGCAUGGGUAGCGAACAGGAUUAGAUACCCUGGUAGUCCAUGCCGUAAACGAUGAGUGCUAGGUGUUGGAGGGUUUCCGCCCUUCAGUGCCGGAGCUAACGC
rnacentral:rRNA from 2 species